rnacentral:lncRNA from 1 species
AUUCGAGGCGACGGGCUCCGGGCCCUGAUAGAUGGGGUGCGGGGACGGAGACAAAUGACGGCCUUUGGGCUCGGAAUACCCACCUUUCUGGUAAUGCAGCCCAGCGGGUCCCAGCCUCGUUUUCCAGCCCUCACUCAAAAUGGAGUCGCUCUGGUUCGAACGCCUCUGACAAGUGUGUACCUACGUGUCAGGGUGAGUAUGGGGCUGUAUGUACACACGUGUCACUGUGUACACGUGUCGGUGCGCAUGUAUGAAUGUGUGUUGUCCUUGGCUGGCAGGCAGCUGGAGUGUGAAUUUCCCUGAGGGUUUCCACUUCCCUGUGGUUCAGGCUGGGGCCGUCCCCGCUCUCCUGGCCCCAGAGCUGCCCCACUAGGCAGGGAAAGCCUCUGGAAUGAGGGAACAGGAUAUGGCUCCAUGAGGCCCCCACAAGCCAGAGGCACCCCUGAGCUUUGCAUAGAUGGGAAGGACUUGGAUUGCUGGGGCCGGGCUGGAGCCUGGGAAUCCUGAGCCGGAAGUGAGGGGUGCACACAGCUGUCUAGAGAAGCCCUCUGCGUGUGCGUGUGUGUGUCCCUCCAGAUCUGUGCAUGUUGAGUCACUCGGGGAAGUGGCUCUCCUCAUGUAAAUGUCUUCAGGAUGAAGGGAGGUCCUUCUGGUGUCUGGACUUGAGCUUCUCUGGGGGCAGAACCUGGGCUCUGGGGGCUGCUAUUUGGGAAUCACCCUCCUUGCCGCCCCCUGGGCCAGUGCCCUGAGGACACUGGAGGGGUCCUUGAGCCCUAGUGGGGGGUAGGGUGUGUGUGUGUGUGUGAGAGAGAGCCAGAGAGAGUGUCUGUGAGCAGGGGUGUAUGUAAAUGUGUGUGAGGAUGUGUAUAUGUGCAUUGGUGUGAGUUGUGUGUGUGAGGUUGUGUUGGGGUGAGGGUGUGGGCGUGUGAGUUGGUGUGAGGGUGUGUGAGUUGGUGUGUGUGAGUUGUGAGGUUGCGUUGGGAGUGAGGGUGUGUGCAUGUGAGUUGGUGUGUGAGUUGUGUAUAUGUGAGGGUGUGUGUGUGAGUUGGUGUGUGAGUUGUGUAUGUGUAAGGGUGUGAGUGUGAGUUGGUGUGUAUUUGAGUUAGUGUGUGUUGGUGUGCAUGCGAGUUGGUGUGUGUGAGUUGGUGUGU